rnacentral:lncRNA from 1 species
GAAUUUAUUAUGUCUGACUAAGAUUUACCCCUUCAUCUUUGAUUGAUUUGUUUUCCAAAGGAUUUCGAUAUCUUUUGAGUCAAACAAUAGCUACUCAUUAACUCGGCAUCAAAAAUUAGUUUUGAUAGAUACUCAUUAACUCGGCAUCAAACAUUUCUCAUUAACUAUGUCCAUGGUUAUUGAUGAUACCCUUAGUUUCAGUAAACUCAGUCUGUUAUCGCGAGUGCUCUUAAUUAUCCUAGACUAAUUUCUUCAUCCAAGUGUAUCUGUUAUCAGCUAGGAAAUUUGAAGGAAUAGAUGCAACUACAAAUUUGAAGGAACUACUCUGUCAACACACAUAUAGAAUCAUUAAUCAAGUUAUUUGGUUGAUUACUCUGAUGUUAAAUUGUCAGUUUCCGUCACUGAAAGACGACGCAUAAUGGACUGAGAUAUGUGAGAACGAUAUCUCAGUGGGACUUACAGUAACGAUAAAGCUGAAAUUAUGGCACCUUUACUGGGGCUACAGUGGUGUAUCGACAAUUGAUAAAAAAACUUGAUGGUGGAAAGUGAUUCCUUAUUACUAGCAUAUUUGGCCAUGCUUCUGAAAGUCAUCUUAUUUUGAAAAGUACUUUUUUCAAAAGUGGCUAAUCAAUUUUGAAAAGUACUUUUGAGCAUCAAUUAGUGUUUGAUCAAAUUUUUAUAAAAGUUCUUUUAAGUGUAUUUUUCUCAAAAAUACUUUUCAAAAAAGUAUUUUAGGGGAGAAGCUAUUUUUUUCUGCAUUUCAAAAACUGAUUCUGCUGCUACUCAAAAUACUUUUUUCCUUCUAAAAGUUUGGUCAAAUAUCUUAACUUUAGAAGAAAAAAAUCAUUUUUGGCCAAGAAAAAGCACCAUCAAAGUGGCAACUAAUUGUUAGCAUGAUCGACCAAUAAGGCCAGCAAAAUUGGGCAGCUUAAAAAAUCUAUUCAGUUGAUAAAGCAGGUAUUGGCUCAAGAAAUUUUCAAGUAAUUGUGCAUUGCUAUAGAGAGGCAAACUUCAUAGCUGAUAGUUUUUUUGCUAAUACAGGAGUAGUUGUAAAACAAGAGAUGUAUCAUGCAAGCUAUAUCAUUACCUAGGAAUGUUAAAGAUUUAACGAAGAAUGAAUAAAGG